rnacentral:rRNA from 1 species
AAUCAACGCUGGCGGCGUGCCUCAGACAUGCAAGUCGAACGAUUAAGACUUUCUUCGGAAAGUGUAUAGAGUGGCGCACGGGUGAGUAACACGUAGGUGAUCUACCUCCGAGUGGGGAAUAACAUCGGGAAACCGAUGCUAAUACCGCAUAAUACCUGCAAGGGUCAAAGCUUUAGUGCUUGGAGAGGAGCCUGCGGCAGAUUAGCUAGUUGGUGAGGUAANGGCUCACCAAGGCAACGAUCUGUAUCCGGUCUAAGAAGGGACGGGUCGGACACACUGACACUGAAGUAACGGGUCAGACUCCGUACGGGGAGGCAGCAGGUC